UCUGUUCGAGCGUCAUUACAACCCUCAAGCUCUAGCUUGGUAUUGGAUGUCACUGCAUGUGGUGCAUCUUAAAAGCAUUGGCGGCAGCAUUUAGCUUCUAGCAUAGUAAAUUUCUUGCUCUGGAGCUUGGAUGUCUGCCUGCCAGAACCCAUAUUUCAAAGGUUGACCUCGGAUCAGGUAGGGAUACCCGCUGAACUUAA
rnacentral:misc_RNA from 1 species